UGUGAUUCAAGGUCAUGUCUAGUUGACUUAUCUCUGAUGUGAGAGGUGUAGUUCACUCAUUUUUGCUGCUUGUAAAGUUUUACAUUUUGUGACUCACUCUAUUUGAUAUUUUCCUAUUUCUGUUUUAUGUGAUCAUUCCAGUUUUUCCUAUCAACGUUAGUGCACCUGUCUUCUGGGACACAUGGGCCAGAGAUCCCCCAGAGUGGACGAUCAGGAGGAGGAUUGCUGGAAUGUAUGCGAGAUGUGCUGUAACCAGACCGGCACACGCCAACUUGAUUUCCAAAGUGCUUGGGCCAGUGUAACCUUUCACUAGAAAUGUGCAUGUGUUUAUGUUGCUGUUCUGAUUGCUCUGAAAAUGAAAGCUGAGAGGCAGCUCUUUCACUGAAGGGCAGGAAGUAAGUGUGACCGUCACUGCCUGGUUGCAGGACUGCUCAGUUCUGACCCUAUUCAUAACUUGAUUUCCUUUACUUGUAUUCCACGUACCUUGUUAUUGUAUGUGCAGCCUCUAAGUGCAGAUAUGCUUCCUUUCAGCAUCACCAUAUAGAAUUAUUUUAUUCCUUUGGAAUCUUUUAUCUUAUAUUUUUAGAAUCAUCCAUAAUAAAGACAGAGGAGGGAAAGAGGGGAUCCAGAUGGACACAAGGAAGGACAAAAGAAAAUAGAAAAUGAAAGCAAGAACAAGAGGAGAGGAAUUGCAAACAGAGAAAGGUGUGUUGCACUAUCACAGACCAGCAGGCAACCUAAGUGAAGUGAGCAAGGCCGGAGGGGAGUCCUCAGCUACAGUCAGCCAUCAGAGAGCCCCAUGCCACCCAGACACCGCCUGCCUUCCUGUCCCUUCUGUGACCUGUUACUGUGUGGACCCAACCCACGGGAAGCAGGACCUCUGCACAAAUCCUGCCAUGGACUGCAGAGCACCGGUGUGGGGGCCCUUGUGACUUACCUGGGAGUGUGACCCAAACCUUCCUCCUUGAGGGGUCUGGGCCCUGGGAAAUGAAGGCCUUUUCAGGAUGGUUUCCUGCAUUUGUCCUUUCAUAGUUGCAAUGGGGCAGGGGAGAGCCAGCAGGCACCCAAGUCUGCCACCGGAGUUCCCCUGCAUUCCUCUUAUCCCAAUUGUGAAAGAGGAGCCCCACCCCCUCCUGAGGGUCAGGGUGGAUUACUUCUGCCUGGAGAAGAGCAGACCUCUCCCCUGGGCACACGGAGAAGUCCAAACACCCUGGUGGCAGCCAUAAUGGGUAUGAAGUUCAAUCAAAAUCCUCAUUUCCAAGACCUCCGCACUGCCGUGCCCAGAAUUGCAGAAAAAAGAAGCAUAACUUCCCCCAGUGGGUGACUGGAAGCAAUGGUAAGUGGAGUGAUACUUGCUUCCAUCACUUGGUUCCUGGACUCACACAUUCUUCUUGAAACCACAGCACCAUAUAGAGCGGUCUGAUUCAAUAAAUAUUCUGCAGCAUGGAAAA